rnacentral:tRNA from 1 species
GGGGGUGUAGCUCAGCUGGUUAGAGCGCCGCCCUGUCACGGCGGAGGCCGCGGGUUCGAGUCCCGUCACUCCCGCCA